rnacentral:rRNA from 1 species
GACAGAGGGUGCAAACGUUGCUCGGAAUUACUGGGCGUAAAGCGCGUGUAGGUGGCUCCGCGAGUCCGAUGUGAAAUCCCACGGCUCAACCGUGGAAGGUCAUUGGAAACUGGGGGACUUGAGUACAGAAGAGGAAAGCGGAAUUCCAAGUGUAGCGGUGAAAUGCGUAGAGAUUUGGAGGAACACCAGUGGCGAAGGCGGCUUUCUGGUCUGUAACUGACGCUGAGGCGCGAAAGCGUGGGGAGCAAACAGG